CACACCUUUUCUGUCCUGAGACCCUCAGGUGACUACCAAGGAAGAACACUGAGUACUUCUGGUGGGAGACAGGAAAAUCCAGUCUUGAGUACAGUACCAAAUCAAUGUACACCUGUAGAAAGGGCAAUUCUGGAAACACUAGAGAAAAUGGACAUGAAGAUCAACCAUCUGACUUCAUUGGUCCAGUCUCUAGUGGGGAACAGGUGUGUUGUACCCCAAAUGCAGAUGGCUGAAGAGGAAGAGGGUGGUGUCUUUCCUCUAGCAUCUACUGCAGACCUAGAUAGGCUGGAACAAAGAUUAUCAGACAGAGGGUUUAUGCAGA